UGAUGAAGGGAAAUAAGGAGAUCUCAGAAUGAAAGAAAAGGAAGAACAGGCACAGAUGUCUCUGAAGUUGCAAAAAGUUGAGAAAAGUAUGCCCUUUCUUAAGUGAUGACCUCCCCUUCCUCAGCGAAGUAAAAGAGAUGAAGAAAACGAGACUUCACAUUGCGAGCUCAUGGCAAGCUAAGACUGGAAACCACGAGUGUUCGGCUCGCGCCCGCGCUGCUGCCCCAGGACGCACGAAUACAUAUCAAGCGCAGCGAGCAAUCCCGUCGCGCGUCGAGAGCUAGCCACCGUCACGGGCCGACGCCCGCCUGUGGGAUAUCACUGCCCCAGGAAGGCCGGGAAGAGCCCUGGAGAAGGCGGGACACCCGCAUCGACUCAGAGGGACAAACCGACUCUCCUUGGAAACCCAGCUGCCGGGCUUCAUCACCAGCCAAGGAUGGUUAAGACCGCGGACGCACGACGCGCGUGGCUUGGCCCUUCCGAGCCACUAUCCCCAACCCCUGUACGUGCCACUCUCGCGAUACGAAUGGCCGGUGCCCUAGGACUCGUAACUGACUCAAUUUCCGUUCCCCGAAAGGGGCCCAGUCCUGCGAGGGCCACUACAGUACCUGAGACAGGAGGCGCCUCCGCCAUCCCGUGCCGCAACACCUAAAGCGAGCCCUGCAGCCCAGCGAGCGCUGUCACCCGGUCAUGUGCUCUGGACUUCCGGCGCCGCGAGAAAAUUCGCUUCUGCGCGCGCGGUAGACGGCCACGGAGUUUGCGCGGCCUGAGUCAACUGUGCGGAGCGUCGGUGACGUCAAACAGACGCGCCCGGCGCCGGCAGAAGCAGGGUACUAGUAGCUGUAGGUAGCCAAGAUCCUGGGAGGAUUCCCAGGCUGAUGAUUAGGCAUAAAGUCUUUACCAUUUUGCA